UAGAGUAUGUCUGGGAAACUGCCUGAUGGAGUGGGGAUAACUACUUGGGGAAACGGUACUAAUACCGCAUAACGUCCAAGACCAAAGAGGGGGGGGGGACCUCGGGCCUCUUGCCAUCGAUUCCCAAUGCGAUUAUGCUAGUAGGUGGGGUAAACGGGCUCACCCUUAGGGCCGAACGGAAUCCCCUUAGCCUUGGGUUCUUGAACGGAGGGAAUUGAACCCAANGCCAACACAACCUUGGGGAAAACCCUUGAAGGAACCAACACCGGGGUUCCCAAGAANCUUCCCCUUAACCGGGGGGGAAAGGGGGGCGCCCAAAGGCC
rnacentral:rRNA from 1 species